ensembl:snRNA U2 U2 spliceosomal RNA
AUCACUUCUCAGCCUUUGGCUAAGAUCAAGUGUAGUAUCUGUUCUUUUAGUUCAAUAUCUGAUGCGUCUCUUGCCUGGGCACCAUUUACUUGCCACACUUC